AUUGAACGCUGGCGGCAGGCCUAACACAUGCAAGUCGAACGAGUGGCGGACGGGUGAGUAAUGUCUGGGAAACUGCCCGAUGGAGGGGGAUACCUACUGGAAACGGUAGCUAAUACCGCAUAACAUAGGAUGUGCCCAGAGGGUAUUGGCUAGGCGGUGGGGUAACGGCUAACCUAGGCGACGAUCCUGAGAUGGUCUGAGAGGAGGACCAGCCACACUGGAACUAGGACACGGUCCGGACUCCUACGGGAGGCAGCCGGGGGGAAUAUUGCACAAUGGGCGCAAGCCUGAUGCAGCCAGGCCGCGUGUAUGAAGAAGGCCUUCGGGUUGUAAAGUACUUUCAGCGAGGAGGCGUUACUCGCAGAAGAAGCACCGGCUAACUCCGUGCCAGCAGCCGCGGUAUAC
rnacentral:rRNA from 1 species